GCUACUGGAGGUGGGGGAAGAUUCUCUUUCCCAAAAGCCCCUCAUCCAGGACUGGUACAACGAGGUUAGGGGAGAGAGGGUGGCUUCCAUGGUGACAAGUCAGUUGUGUUGAAAAUCCUGCAGACGUGUUGCUGCUGAAAGGAACUGGAAGACCAACAGAUGUUCCAACCAGCUGGAUCAGUGGCUUUCCCUCCAUCGACAGACACGACGUGGACAGGGGAAAGUGCACGGGUUUUGGAGGGACACAGACCAGGAUUUUCAUGCCAGCUUUGCCCUUUGCUAGCCCUGGAACCAUGGGCAAGUUACUUAAUCUUUCUGAGGUGCAAGUCCCAUGCAGGGGUGUGUAAAAUAAUACAUACAAAUCGCUUGGCACUGGAUUGGGAGUAAUCGAUAAAUAAGUAUAAGCUUUUAAAUUCAUGAUUAUUCCCUCUGCUUCACAACCCCCCUAAGGAUUCCCAGAAUCUUGGUUACAACUACCGGGCUGAUAGAAGAUUUCGAAGGAAAUGUUGGCAGAAGUGUGUGAGGUUUGAAGGGGUUAAAGAGUGGGGAUGAGCUCUAUUCUGAAGGAAGAGAAAGGAAGUGACGUCUCAUCUCUCCUCCGUCUUUGGGAGGUUCUCCACGAGGAUAGGAGUCACUGGAAAACCUUCCGACAGGGCCCUUGCUAAAAAAGCACUCAGGAAUCACAUAUUCUCCCUACCCGCGCCUCCUUUUUUAUACUCUAAUGCGUGCCUGGUGCGCAAAGAGAAGGGGUUUGCUAAAAGUUGCCUUCCCUCCCGUUGUAAACUGGUCAGUGGUGUCAUAACGGUGAUCCUAUCAGCAGGCCUCAAAAGUGGCCCUUCUCGAUGUUGUCCCACAGAACUGUCAGGUCUGGUGCCAGCAAGAAUUGCUGCCGAGGGAGGAUUCUUGCCUAGAACUUUUUCUGAGACCUGCCACCGUCCAGUCUGCUCUUUGUUCCCCUUUGAGCCUGGCCUCAUUUGGCUGUUCUCCCUCUGGUAUGCCCCUAGCUGGAGUGCCAGCCAAUCCCUUGCCCUUCACACACCCCACCACAGACUGAUAUGCCUUCUCCCUUUGCUUGGCUGCCAGGGAGAGGAUUUAUAUCAGGAUUGCUCAACGAAGAAAAUGCCCGGCACCAUAACGUUCCAAAGCUUGCUCUCUGUUACGUUUGUAUUCUUCCAGAAUGUUGAUCCUUAACCUCUAUGUUAAGAGAAUCCUCAUGGAAGCGUCUACCUUUGAAUGAUUUGUCUUUGAGUCUUAGGUUGAAUGUUCUGUGUCUCAGUUUCUUUUAGUUGCCUGGGCUAGCCCACCUCCACUGUCAUUGACCCACUAUCAAUAAAGAUAGCGUUUGCUUAAC
ensembl:lncRNA